GUCCCAGUAGCUUAAUAAAGCAUCGACUUUGUAAGCCGAAGAAUGGAAGUUCAACCCUUCCCUGCGACA
rnacentral:tRNA from 1 species